rfam:Prunus persica cultivar Lovell chromosome G4, whole genome shotgun sequence.
UUGGGAGCUCACUGGCUUAGGAGUCAUGGGAACUCCGAAGUUAAGCGAGUUUGGGCUAGAGCAAUCCCAGGAUGGGCGACUUACUAGGAAGUUGUUAGUGAGUUCCCAGA